AUGUAAAGCUUGUCAGGUCAGGGAGCCAGCAGACAC
rnacentral:SRP_RNA from 16 species